rnacentral:piRNA from 1 species
UCUUAGUUGAACUAGGGUUGCAUCAUG